GUCUCGUUUUGGCAGCACAUAUACUAAAAUUGGAACAAUACAAAGAAGAUUAGCAUGGCCCCUGCUCAAGGAUGACGACAUGCAAAAAGAUCUUGGUAAAACCAUUUU